CUCCCUCCAGUCAGGCAAAAAGACGCUUUGCGGAUAUGCUCCAAUUUUUGCGUCCGAACUGAACUUUGAAACACGGUGAAAAAAUUUGUUUAAUAGUUGUUUGUAAAGGCUGCCGUUCUCGAUAUAAAGAAUAGAGUAAAGAAAGAAAAGUAAUUAAUAAGUAAAAUUAAUAAAUCUGCAAUGGUACCCGUAAUAAGAAACUUACGAAAGUGAAAGUGUGAUGACUAUGACCGAAUGGUGUUUAAGCUGAAAAAUUUAUCCCACAAUCACUUCUAGACUCUAAAACUGUUCGGUGGCUUCAUGGACGUGAAUUUUAGUUUAUCAAUAUAUUUUUGCCUUAUCAAGAAAUUCUGUAUGAGUAUCAAAAGCUUGCAAAAAUAAAAACUUCAAGUUAAAAUAUCCUCCGCCUCGGAUACCGAUGUUAAAGAUUAAUAUAAUUAUAUAAACUAUAAAUUAACUUCAAAUCUAUAAAAUCUUGCAAAACACAUAAUUACAUGGUUAGAUUUAUAAAAUUGUCUUGUUGGUUUUGAGAACUAUUGUUAAAAAGUUGGUUAGUUAUUAGUGUGUGCUUGAUUUAACAACUUAUGACUGUAACGACUUAGCAUCAUCCUAGACACAAUAUUUUAAAAAUUAGUAGGUGAUCUGAUCUGAAGAAGGGUUUCACUCAGGAAUAAUUUUUAAACAAGAAGAAGGAGGGACCGAGGUGGACAAGGAUCCACCCACCACCAACACAACCCAACGUUCCCCACUUCCGGCCAACCUCCGCCGCCCCCCGCCAACAUCGGAGGAACUCGCCGAUUUAGAAAUUUCAGCUUAUUAUAAUAAGCUGAAAUUUAGCGUGCAGUCGACAAAAUAACUUGUGAUUAGAGCGUUUAGGAGGGUU